rnacentral:rRNA from 1 species
UACGUAGGGGGCUAGCGUUGUCCGGAAUCAUUGGGCGUAAAGAGCGUGUAGGCGGUCCGGUAAGUCCGCUGUGAAAGUCGGGGGCUCAACCCUCGAAUGCCGGUGGAUACUGUCGGGCUAGAGUGCGGAAGAGGCGAGUGGAAUUCCUGGUGUAGCGGUGAAAUGCGCAGAUAUCAGGAGGAACACCGAAGGCGAAGGCAGCUCGCUGGGACGGUACUGACGCUGAGGCGCGAAAGCGUGGGGAGCGAACAGG